ACUCCCAGGAAAAUGGAUAAAAAGAAAUAAAACGUCGCCGUUGUAGUUUUCCUAAGCCCCUGAAAAGAACCAGUAAACAACCGUUGCAUAAAACCCUUAUUCCUUAACCCCUGGGACAGACAUUUCUCGGUCCACUGGAAGGAAACCGAUGAAUAAAAUCGGCAUCGUUUUUCAGCUCUCCGAUUAUACUUUUCUUACAUAACAUUACGAUACAGCUUCUUUUCUCCCCGGUAAUUUCGCAAUCAAAUGGGAAGAUUCAGUCGGUUAGGCCUGUAUCGGCAGCAUUUGCUGUCAUCUACAGCCAUGGAAAAAGAUUAUUUGCUUGCAAGGGUUUCUGCAUUUCGCGCCCAAGCGUUACACAGUUGCGGUUUUGUUGUUGGGAAACCGUUUGAUUAUGCAACUACAAGAAUGCCAUUCGGAGAUCGUUAUAUUCAUGCCACAGGAUUUUCUUCUUCCGCCGAACGAAACUACUAUGAAAUUCUUGGUGUUCCUGAAAAUGCCAGUCGAGAUGACAUUAAAAAGGCAUUCCAUGUGCUUGCAAAGAAGUACCAUCCAGAUGCAAAUAAGAAUAGCCCUUCUGCAAAGAGGAAAUUCCAAGAGAUAAGAGACGCCUAUGAGACUUUACAAGAUUCAGAAAAGAGGGCAGAAUAUGACAGGAAGUGCAGUCAGGGCACAGAAAAUGUGCAAUAUGCUGCUGGUGAUGCAGAUGGGUUUAGAUAUGCUUACCGAACUCAUUUCUCUGAUUCAUUCCAUAAAAUAUUCUCAGAGAUCUUUGAACAAGCGACAGAUCAUUUUGCAUCCGAUGUCCAGGUUGAGUUGUCGCUCUCCUUUUCUGAAGCUGCACAAGGAUGCACAAAGAACCUGUCCUUUGAUGCAUUUGUACCCUGUGAUUCUUGUCAUGGGCAUGGCCAUCCACUUGAUGCCAAGUCAAAAGUUUGUCCAACUUGUGGAGGUGUAGGGAGAGUUACAAUUCCUCCAUUUACAUCAAGGUGUGGCGCUUGUAAAGGGUCUGGCCGAAUCAUUGAGGAACACUGUAUGUCAUGUAGAGGAUCAGGGGUGGUUGAAGGCACCAAGGAGGUUAAAGUUACAAUUCCAGCAGGUGUGGAUACUGGAGAUACAAUUCGUGUACCAGGAGCUGGUAGUGGGGGACGAGGAAGUCAACCUGGCAGCUUAUUCAUUAAACUAAAGGUUGCUGAAGAUCGUGUCUUUUCUAGAGAGGGUGCAGACGUUUAUGUGGAUGCUAACAUUAGCUUUACGCAAGCUAUUCUUGGUGGCAUGGUUGAUGUGCCAACUGUAUCAGGGAAGAUGCAACUAAAAAUACCGAAAGGAGUUCAGCCGGGACAACUUCUGGUACUAAGGGGCAAAGGACUGCCAAAGCAUGGUUUUCUUGUAACCCAUGGAGAUCAGUAUGUGCGCUUCCGUGUCAACUUUCCCACUGCAAUAAAUGAACGCCAACGUGCAAUUCUAGAAGAAUUCGCGAAGGAGGAAAUAAAUUGUGCAAACGGUAACUCAGCUGAAGGAAACUGGUGGCAGCAAAUUCUUGAACGUAUAACGGGUCCUAAGUUUAUGCUUGAACUGUCUCUGUUCAUGUUGGUCCUUCUGUUCCUGAACAAGACAAUGGGCUGAAUGCCAGUCAAGGCGAUUUUGAUGGAGAUAUCUGGGCUACUUGUCUAUGAAACAGGACAGCUGCCUCUGUUACCCUUAAGAGUUUUGUUGAUCGCAGAUGGACGAGCCAUUUCUGGAAGCUCAGGUGUCUCUCACCCCAUUUGGAGCAGCAUACAAGCGCACGUUUGCUUUGCCAAAUAUUUGAAUUUGCUUUUGGCAUCAGGCAGCACUUUUGUAGGUGAAGGUGGCUCAAAUGGGAUUUAAGACACAGAUUGUUGCUAGUUAAAUGCGGAGGAAUUGACAAUGCCUUGAGAAAUUGUUUAAACUUCCCAUCCCCAUUAUGCUUAUCAAUUAUUUGGCUUCAUAAGAUGGUUAAUGUCUUUUCCUUUGUUAAGGUUCCCCUUCCUUAUGAUGCUUCUUUGCUAAUCAUGCCUUCAAGAACAGUUUGAUCAUUGAUCUUGGUUCUCAACAUCAAUAGGUGCUCUUGAAAUUAUAGGGCCUCUGAUAUUGACCACAGUAUUAACUAUUAAU